rnacentral:miRNA from 1 species
GGAUCAAGCUGAUCCGGAAGUGGA